rnacentral:tRNA from 1 species
GGGAUUAUGGCGCAGCUGGGAGCGCGUUAGACUGAAGAACCAACUUCAGCCACGUCUAUUUCAAUAGAAGUAGUGCCAUCUAAAGGUCACCGGUUCGAUCCCGGUUGAUCCCA